UGGGGAAUUUUGGACAAUGGGCGAAAGCCUGAUCCAGCAAUGCCGCGUGUGUGAAGAAGGCCUUCGGGUUGUAAAGCACUUUUGUCCGGAAAGAAAUCCUUGGCUCUAAUACAGUCGGUGGAUGACGGUACCGGAAGAAUAAGCACCGGCUAACUACGUGCCAGCAGCCGCGGUAAUACGUAGGGGUGCAAGCGUUAAUCGGAAUUACUGGGCGUAAAGCGUGCGCAGGCGGUUUGCUAAGACCGAUGUGAAAUCCCCGGGCUCAACCUGGGAACUGCAUUGGUGACUGGCAGGCUAGAGUAUGGCAGAGGGGGGUAGAAUUCCACGUGUAGCAGUGAAAUGCGUAGAGAUGUGGAGGAAUACCGAUGGCGAAGGCAGCCCCCUGGGCCAAUACUGACGCUCAUGCACGAAAGCGUGGGGAGCAAACAGGAUUAGAUACCCUGGUAGUCCACGCCCUAAACGAUGUCAACUAGUUGUUGGGGAUUCAUUUCCUUAGUAACGUAGCUAACGCGUGAAGUUGACCGCCUGGGGAGUACGGUCGCAAGAUUAAAACUCAAAUGAAUUGACGGGGUCAUAGCUGUUUCCU
rnacentral:rRNA from 1 species